rnacentral:rRNA from 1 species
UACGUAGGGACCAAGCGUUUGUUCGGAUUUACUGGGCGUAAAGGGCGCGUAGGCGGCGCGGUAAGUCACUUGUGAAAUCUCUGAGCUUAACUCAGAACGGCCAAGUGAUACUGCAGUGCUAGAGUGUGGAAGGGGCAAUCGGAAUUCUUGGUGUAGCGGUGAAAUGCGUAGAUAUCAAGAGGAACACCUGAGGUGAAGACGGGUUGCUGGGCCAACACUGACGCUGAUGCGCGAAAGCCAGGGGAGCAAACGGG